rnacentral:rRNA from 1 species
UACGGGGGGAGCAAGCGUUGUUCGGAUUUACUGGGCGUAAAGGGCGCGUAGGCGGUCAGCACAAGUCAGUUGUGAAAUCUCCGGGCUUAACCCGGAGCGGCCAAGUGAUACUGUCGUGCUAGAGUGCGGAAGGGGCUACUGGAAUUCUCGGUGUAGCGGUGAAAUGCGUAGAUAUCGAGAGGAACACCUGCGGCGAAGGCGGGUAGCUGGGCCGACACUGACGCUGAUGCGCGAAAGCCAGGGGAGCGAACGGG